rfam:Phaseolus vulgaris cultivar G19833 chromosome 1, whole genome shotgun sequence.
GGUUUACACUUGAUCUCUGAACUUCAGGUAAGUUCAUGUUGAGAAGUUCAUUCGCUGAUGCU